UUAAUUGGUAUUAGAAAUAAGAAUAAUCUCCUGUACUAGAAAGCUACAGUGUAAAAACAGACUUCAGACCCCCGACUUCAAGUUUUCAGCUGCGGAGAGAUGGAGUAAAAUAACACAAAAGGAUAAUGACUUCAUCUCAAUGGGCCUGGGCACAAUUGCAUAAUCUGAGGAAGUUGUGAGAGCAUGUGGGUGCUUGUGGAAGAAUUCCCCUGCAUACCACUGAAGCGUCGCAGAGUGAGGUCAAACACGUUGCUUGAUUUUUAGUGAAAGGUCCUCACCAAUAUUGGAUGGAAUAACAUGAUUUUUGAUACAGAGGUCCAUGGUGCCCUUGAGGAUGACUCCAAAUGACUUUGGUCGCUCCUUAACCCUUCAUCUAGCACUGCCACCAGGCAUGGACAACCCACCGUCCCCUACACCGUGGAAAAGACCUUGAUAUCGCUGGCUGCUCUGCUAUUGAAUUCAGCCUGAUUGGGCCACAAAAGGAAUCUGCUUCUGCCGCAAGGUACUUCCUCAUCACCUGACAGACUUCGCCUGAGUGGAGCCUAUUUAAGCUGGGAUAUUCAAGAUGGCGUCUCUCUCUCAGCUCUCCUGGAAGGCUGGUGCCUUUCAGGAACCCAACUCGAUUUUGCUUUGUUGUAUAUUGUGUUUGGUUAAGGCCUCAGUUCUUGUGCAGUCGUUUAAGUUGGCUUUCAUUUUCAAGGCACCCAACACCUACACUACACUACACUACUGACUUCACAUUUUCUACUUUACUUAGGUUGAAUUGAGUUAUCCUGAAUAAAUUUGGUUUCUUAAAAU